UGAUGGUCCUUUAUUGGAAAACAAAUUAAGUAAAGGGUCAGAAAAUGCCAUUGACAAUAACAUCUUAAGAGAGAUUGUUGAAUAUGAUUCACGACAAAUGGUACGAUAAAUGGAGACUCACUUGACACAAAUAAGAGCAGUAAAGGAAAUAAAUAAAUGUCUUACACGUGUAAAUACAGAAACCAAGGUGAAUUAGUACAGCCAACUCGUUAUUUCAAUGAGAGUCUGUAUUCAUCUUAUUCGUAAAACUGCUAAAGAAGGAAUGCAAGUAAAUGCGAGCGUUUGUGCCUACCACGAGGACUUGGGUCACGUGAUUUCGAUCGUAUAAGAAUUCCAUGCGAAGAUCAUGCAAAUUUUGUCAGCUUCACACCCAAAUCAGGACAUCGCGGUGAACAUCGGAGUAAGCGUAACAUGAACAGACGCACACGCGUGACCAUGUUCACUCGCGCGCACGAUCUCCAUUCACGCCACGUCACAUGGUGGGCUGAGUGCGUAAAAGGACCGCCGUGGUCCUUCGUGAACGGGCAACCGAUCCCGUUUACUCCCCUGUGCGGCCGCCUAUUACGUUUUCCACGUACGUAGGUGCACGCGUGUCCGUCCAUGCGAGGCGGGCUCGCAAAUCGUCGGCCCUUUCCGUAGGAGGUCGAGGAAACACGGAACAGGUAUACUCGCCGUUAUCCUGACGGAGUCGCGGAUCGUGUCGAAGGACCUCGUGGCAUGGAGGAACGGUGCGCGUGUGAUCGAUGGCUUCGGCCACGCCAGCGGCCACCCUUGUCCGACGAUGACUCACCGUGACUCCCGGUAUACGCGACACGAUGCUUCGUGUAGAUGUCAAAGGUGCGCCCGAAGUAGCCCUGCCACUGCUUGUGUCCGUAUUGUGGCAGAUCCCGUAACCCGUUG